AGAAAUCCGCGCUUCUUGAUAGUUAGUUAAAGUGUUUCAUUGAGCUUGGAUGUUGUAGAUUGUGUUCAUCUUCCCCAGUUAUUUUUGAAAAGAGUAGUUUCAAGGAUUUGUAGUCGAUCAGCUUUUUAAUGGAAGCGCUGGAUAUUUGGGCGCAUUUUAUAUAAAUUAGAUCAUUUCGAGAUAGUACAUGGAGCGUUUAUCUUUACCACAAGACUCCCGCAAUUUUUAUUCGAACAUUUUAGUUGAAAGAUUCCAUUCGGAUACUCUAAAGAUAAUCACCUUCGUCGACGUGUAUCACAUUGAAAGUCCCGGAGGAAAUGGCCCUUGAUUUUCUUGCUGGGUGCAUUGGAGGCUCUGCUGGUGUAUUAAUUGGCCAUCCUUUGGACACAGUGAAGGUUUGCAUCCAGACCCAAGAUUCAAACAAUCCCAGAUACAGAGGCACUUUGCACUGUUUGCAAUCCAUUUGUACUCAGCAGGGCUUCAAGGGGAUCUACCGGGGCGUUACUAGCCCCUUAUUUGGUGUGGCCGGAAUAAACGCUAUAGUAUUUGGCAUUUAUGGCAAUACUCAAAGGCACAUGCAAAAUCCAGAUUUAUUAAUAAGUCACGCCAUUGCUGGUGGAACUGCA
rnacentral:lncRNA from 1 species